AGAGUUUGAUCCUGGCUCAGAACGAACGCUGGCGGCGUGCCUAACACAUGCAAGUCGAACGUGAAAGUCCUUCGGGAUGAGUAAAGUGGCGCACGGGUGAGUAAUGCGUAGAUAAUCUGCCUGGUGAUCUGGGAUAACAUCUCGAAAGGGGUGCUAAUACCGGAUAAGCCCACGGAGUCUUCGGACUUUGCGGGAAAAGGGGGGGACCUUCGGGCCUUCUGUCACCAGAUGAGUCUACGUACCAUUAGCUAGUUGGUGGGGUAAGAGCCCACCAAGGCUACGAUGGUUAGCUGGUCUGAGAGGAUGAUCAGCCACACUGGAACUGAGACACGGUCCAGACUCCUACGGGAGGCAGCAGUGGGGAAUUUUGCGCAAUGGGGGAAACCCUGACGCAGCAACGCCGCGUGAGUGAUGAAGGCCUUC
rnacentral:rRNA from 1 species